GUCCACGCCCUAAACGAUGUCAACUGGUUGUUGGGUCUUCACUGACUCAGUAACGAAGCUAACGCGUGAAGUUGACCGCCUGGGGAGUACGGCCGCAAGGUUGAAAACUCAAAAGGAAUUGACGGGGACCCGCACAAGCGGUGGAUGAUGUGGUUUAAUUCGAUGCAACGCGAAAAACCUUACCCACCUUUGACAUGUACGGAAUCCUUUAGAGAUAGAGGAGUGCUCGAAAAGAGAACCGUAACACAGGUGCUGCAUGGCUGUCGU
rnacentral:rRNA from 1 species